AGCGAACGCUGGCGGCAGGCCUAACACAUGCAAGUCGAACGAACUCUUCGGAGUUAGUGGCGGACGGGUGAGUAACACGUGGGAACGUGCCUUUUGGUUCGGAAUAACUCAGGGAAACUUGUGCUAAUACCGAAUGUGCCCUUCGGGGGAAAGAUUUAUCGCCAUUAGAGCGGCCCGCGUCUGAUUAGCUAGUUGGUGAGGUAACGGCUCACCAAGGCGACGAUCAGUAGCUGGUAUGAGAGGAUGACCAGCCACACUGGGACUGAGACACGGCCCAGACUCCUACGGGAGGCAGCAGUGGGGAAUCUUGCGCAAUGGGCGAAAGCCUGACGCAGCCAUGCCGCGUGAAUGAUGAAGGUCUUAGGAUUGUAAAAUUCUUUCACCGGGGACGAUAAUGACGGUACCCGGAGAAGAAGCCCCGGCUAACUUCGUG
rnacentral:rRNA from 1 species